rnacentral:rRNA from 1 species
GGCGCACGGGUGCGUAACACGUAUGUAAUCUGCCCAUCACAGGAGAAUAGCCCGGAGAAAUUCGGAUUAAUACUCCAUAAUAAAUUGAGUGGCAUCACUUGAUUUUGAAAGUUCCGACGGUGAUGGAUGAACAUGCGACUGAUUAGUUAGUUGGUGAGGUAACGGCUCACCAAGACCACGAUCAGUAGGGGUACUGAGAGGUUAAACCCCCACACUGGUACUGAGACACGGACCAGACUCCUACGGGAGGCAGCAGUAAGGAAUAUUGGACAAUGGCCGCAAGGCUGAUCCAGCCAUGCCGCGUGCAGGAAGAAGGCCCUAUGGGUCGUAAACUGCUUUUGAACAAGAGAAAACCCCUCUACGUGUAGAGGGCUGAUAGUAUUGUUAGAAUAAGCAUCGGCUAACUUCGUGCCAGCAGCCGCGGUAAGACGAAGGAUGCAAGCGUUAUCCGGAUUCAUUGGGUUUAAAGGGAGCGUAGGCGGACUUGUAAGUCAGUGGUGAAAUCUUUGGGCUUAAC